UACGAAGGGUGCAAGCGUUAAUCGGAAUUACUGGGCGUAAAGGGGGCGUAGGCGGUUAGUUAAGGCUGUUGUGAAAUCCCCGGGCUCAACCUGGGAAUGGCAAUGGAUACUGGCUGGCUAGAGUGUGUCAGAGGAUGGUGGAAUUCCCGGUGUAGCGGUGAAAUGCGUAGAGAUCGGGAGGAACAUCAGUGGCGAAGGCGGCCAUCUGGGACAACACUGACGCUGAAGCACGAAAGCGUGGGGAGCAAACAGG
rnacentral:rRNA from 1 species